rnacentral:rRNA from 1 species
CGGCCUUCUGGGCUGUUCCUGACGCUGAAGGCGAAAGCUAGGGGAGCGAACGGGAUUAGAUACCCCGGUAGUCCUAGCUGUAAACGAUGGAUGCUGGGUCUGGGGGGUGUAAAUUCCCUCUGUGCCGAAGCAAACGCGUUAAGCAUCCCGCCUGGGGACUACGGCCGCAAGGCUAAAACUCAAACGAAUUGACGGGGGCCCGCACAAGCAGCGGAGCGUGUGGUUUAAUUCGAUGCUACACGAAGAACCUUACCUGGGUUUGACAUGCACGUGGUAGGGAACCGAAAGAGGACCGACCUUCGGGAGCGUGCACAGGUGCUGCAUGGCUGUCGUCAGCUCGUGCCGUGAGGUGUCGGGUUAAGUCCCGUAACGAGCGCAACCCUUGCCCUUAGUUACAAGUGUCUAAGGGGACUGCCCGGGACAACUCCCAGGAAGGUGGGGAUGACGUCAAGUCAGCAUGGCCUUUAUAUCCAGGGCUACACACACGCUACAAUGGCCGGUACAAUAGGUUGCGAAGUCGUGAGGCGGAGCCAAUCCUCAAAGCCGGUCUCAGUUCGAAUUGCAGUCUGCAACUCGACUGCAUGAAGCUGGAGUUGCUAGUAAUCGCAGGUCAGCUAUACUCCGGUGAUACGUUCCCGGGCAUUGUACACACCGCCCGUCACGUCAUGGAAGCUGGCAACGCCUGAAGCCGGUGAGCUNACCCGGAAGGGAGGCAGCC